rnacentral:rRNA from 1 species
UACAGAGGUCCCGAGCGUUGUUCGGAUUCACUGGGCGUAAAGGGUGUGUAGGUGGUGAGGUAAGUCGGAUGUGAAAUCUCCGGGCUCAACCCGGAAAUGGCAUUGGAAACUACCUUGCUGGAGGAUUUGAGGGGGGAUUGGAAUACUUGGUGUAGCAGUGAAAUGCGUAGAUAUCAAGUGGAACACCAGUGGCGAAGGCGAAUCCCUGGAAAAUACCUGACACUGAGGCACGAAAGCUAGGGGAGCAAACAGG